rnacentral:SRP_RNA from 1 species
UCGCAAUAGACGGGGAGGUAGCGGUGCCUUGUAACCUGCAAACCGCUAUAGCAGGGUCGAAUUCCUAUUGAAGGACUAAUGAUGUGUGGUCAGUGCUUUGGAUGAGGUGUUGAGGAAAAAGUCUUUUGCAAAGGAUAAUCUCCGAACGGGUCAGAUCUGGAAGGAAGCAGCCAUAAGGAGAACCCUAUUCUUGUGUAAAAGGUCACUUUUUCUGAGUCGCUGAAGAAGUAACGCAUGGAUGAUUAGUUCGUAGAUAGGUUUGCGA